rnacentral:rRNA from 1 species
GACGAACGCUGGCGGCGUGCUUAACACAUGCAAGUCGAACGGAAAGGCCCUGCUUUUGUGGGGUGCUCGAGUGGCGAACGGGUGAGUAACACGUGAGUAACCUGCCCUUGACUUUGGGAUAACUUCAGGAAACUGGGGCUAAUACCGGAUAGGAGCUCCUGCUGCAUGGUGGGGGUUGGAAAGUUUCGGCGGUUGGGGCUGGACUCGCGGCUUAUCAGCUUGUUGGUGGGGUAGUUGCUUACCAAGGCUUUGACGGGUAGCCGGCCUGAGAGGGUGACCGGCCACAUUGGGACUGAGAUACGGCCCAGACUCCUACGGGAGGCAGCAGUGGGGAAUAUUGCACAAUGGGCGGAAGCCUGAUGCAGCAACGCCGCGUGCGGGAUGACGGCCUUCGGGUUGUAAACCGCUUUCGCCUGUGACGAAGCGUGAGUGACGGUAAUGGGUAAAGAAGCACCGGCUAACUACGUG